GUGGGGAAUCUUAGACAAUGGGGGAAACCCUGAUCUAGCCAUGCCGCGUGAGCGAUGAAGGCCUUAGGGUUGUAAAGCUCUUUCAGAUGGGAAGAUAAUGACGGUACCAUCAGAAGAAGCCCCGGCUAACUCCGUGCCAGCAGCCGCGGUAAUACGGAGGGGGCUAGCGUUGUUCGGAAUUACUGGGCGUAAAGCGCACGUAGGCGGACUGGAAAGUCAGGGGUGAAAUCCCGGGGCUCAACCCCGGAACUGCCUUUGAAACUCCCAGUCUUGAGUUCGAGGGAGGUGAGUGGAAUUCCGAGUGUAGAGGUGAAAUUCGUAGAUAUUCGGAGGAACACCAGUGGCGAAGGCGGCUCACUGGCUCGAUACUGACGCUGAGGUGCGAAAGCGUGGGGAGCAAACAGGAUUAGAAACCCGUGUAGUCC
rnacentral:rRNA from 1 species